rnacentral:lncRNA from 1 species
CCCCCAUAACGACCCCUUUUAGUGGCAGCGUCUGUCUCGGCAGAGCUUAGGGAACAGUGAAUGCAUUAAACAAACUUCAUCUCCCCUUUGAAAUGGCUAU